AUGAAGCCUCUGGUCAUCUCAGUGUUGCUGGCUGCUAUGAGCCUUGAAUGCAGAGCACAAAAAGACAACGUGCUGCAACCAGAAGGAGAUGUGACUGCUACUGAAGGAGAGGCAGUAACACUUGGCUGUCAAUAUAACAGCAGUGCAACUAAUGAUUAUCUCUUCUGGUACAAACAGGAUGGAAACAACAGCCCCAAAUUCAUUCUGAGCCGCUUUCAAGGGAAUGAAGGGAACACACCAGACGAGUUCAAGGAGAGAUUUUCAUCUACACACAAUUCCAAGUUAAGAUCAGUUCCUCUGAAGAUCCAGAAGCUUCAGCUGUCUGACUCUGCUGUGUACUACCAACACAGUCUC